rnacentral:rRNA from 1 species
CGCCGCGUGAGGGAUGAAGGCCUUCGGGUUGUAAACCUCUGUCAGAGAGGACGAAUUGUCUGCCUGUCGGCAGACAGGGACGGUACUCUCAGAGGAAGCCACGGCUAACUCCGUGCCAGCAGCCGCGGUAAUACGGAGGUGGCGAGCGUUAUCCGGAUUCAUUGGGCGUAAAGGGCGCGUAGGUGUCUCCAUAAGUCGGAUGUGAAAUCCUUCUGCUCAACAGAAGAAUGGCAUUCGAAACUGUGGAGAUUGAGUACAGAAGAGGAGAGUGGAAUUCCUGGUGUAGCGGUGAAAUGCGUAGAUAUCAGGAGGAACACCGGUGGCGAAGGCGACUCUCUGGUCUGAUACUGACACUGAGGCGCGAAAGCUAGGGGAGCAAACAGGAUUAGAUACCCUGGUAGUCCUAGCCAUAAACGAUGCUCACUAGGUGUGGGAGGUAUCGAUUCCUUCCGUGCCGCAGCUAACGCAUUAAGUGAGCCGCCUGGGGAGUACGACCGCAAGGUUGAAACUCAAAGGAAUUGACGGGGGCCCGCACAAGCGGUGGAGCAUGUGGUUCAAUUCGACGCUACACGAGGAACCUUACCGGGAUUUGACAUGUACU